CAAUAGCGUAUAUUAAAGUUGUUGCAGUUAAAAAGCUCGUAGUCGGAUUCGAGGCGUCGGCGGGGCGGUCCCGGUUUCUCCCUUCGCAGGGGUGCCGGGUUCAAAACUGCCCCCGUCUCCGACCCUGACCCGCCGGUUUCCGCGCCCGGUGCCCUUGACUGGUUGCGCCGGCGUGCGGCCGGAACGUUUACUUUGAAGAAAUUAGAGUGUUCAAGGCAGGCGAUUCGCCUGAAUGGUGGUGCAUGGAAUAAUGGAACAGGACCCCGGUUCUAUUCUGUUGGUCUUCGGAACUCGAGGUAAUGAUCGAGAGGGACGGACGGGGGCAUUCGUAUCGCGGUGUGAGAGGUGAAAUUCUUAGAUCGCCGCGAGACGGGCUGCUGCGAAAGCGUCUGCCAAGAACGUUUUCAUUGAUCAAGAACGAAAGUCAGAGGCUCGAAGACGAUCAGAUACCGUCCUAGUUCUGACCAUAAACGAUGCCGACUAGCAAUUGGCCGGAGUUGUUUGCAUGACCCGGCCGGCGGCUUCCGGGAAACCAUAAAGUCUUUGGGUUCCGGGGGAAGUAUGGUUGCAAAGCUGAAACUUAAAGGAAUUGACGGAAGG
rnacentral:rRNA from 1 species